rnacentral:rRNA from 1 species
GACGAACGCUGGCGGCGUGCUUAACACAUGCAAGUCGAGCGGUAAGGCCCUUUCGGGGGUACACGAGCGGCGAACGGGUGAGUAACACGUGGGUGACCUGCCCUCAGCUCUGGGAUAAGCCUGGGAAACCGGGUCUAAUACCGGAUAUGACUCCAUGACGCAUGUUGUGGGGUGGAAAGCCUUGUGCGGCUGAGGAUGGGCCCGCGGCCUAUCAGCUUGUUGGUGGGGUGAUGGCCUACCAAGGCGACGACGGGUAGCCGGCCUGAGAGGGCGACCGGCCACACUGGGACUGAGACACGGCCCAGACUCCUACGGGAGGCAGCAGUGGGGAAUCUUGCGCAAUGGGCGAAAGCCUGACGCAGCGACGCCGCGUGAGGGAGU